rnacentral:rRNA from 1 species
CUGAUCCAGCCAUACCGCGUGGGUGAAGAAGGCCUUCGGGUUGUAAAGCCCUUUUGUUGGGAAAGAAAUCCAGCUGGCUAAUACCCGGUUGGGAUGACGGUACCCAAAGAAUAAGCACCGGCUAACUUCGUGCCAGCAGCCGCGGUAAUACGAAGGGUGCAAGCGUUACUCGGAAUUACUGGGCGUAAAGCGUGCGUAGGUGGUCGUUUAAGUCCGUUGUGAAAGCCCUGGGCUCAACCUGGGAACUGCAGUGGAUACUGGGCGACUAGAGUGUGGUAGAGGGUAGCGGAAUUCCUGGUGUAGCAGUGAAAUGCGUAGAGAUCAGGAGGAACAUCCAUGGCGAAGGCAGCUACCUGGACCAACACUGACACUGAGGCACGAAAGCGUGGGGAGCAAACAGGAUUAGAUACCCUGGUAGUCCACGCCCUAAACGAUGCGAACUGGAUGUUGGGUGCAAUUUGGCACGCAGUAUCGAAGCUAACGCGUUAAGUUCGCCGCCUGGGGAGUACGGUCGCAAGACUGAAACUCAAAGGAAUUGACGGGGGCCCGCACAAGCGGUGGAGUAUGUGGUUUAAUUCGAUGCAACGCGAAGAACCUUACCUGGCCUUGACAUGUCGAGAACUUUCCAGAGAUGGAUUGGUGCCUUCGGGAACUCGAACACAGGUGCUGCAUGGC